rnacentral:lncRNA from 1 species
CUUGUUUUUUGAAAUGUCAUGCGAAACUUGUAAAAGACGGAUUUAAAUGUACAUAUUUAGGAAUAACGUAAAAUAUGGGACACUAUCAGCAUUGUAAUUCUCUGUGUUACAGAAUAGUUCAGGACUUUUUACAGUUCGCUCCGUGCCCGCCGCCAUUGUUAAGCCACCGUGAGUUUCGUGCAGCACGCGCUCAGCAGAAAUCUAACUCACCUGGAUAUAUGCAGUAUUUCACUGAAGUGCAGACCAGCACAUCCUGGCGUAGAGGAAGACUGUAAAGUACCGUCUGAUCGACCUCCAUAUGUUGCAAUCAUCAUUAUUGUGUCGUGUGUUGUUUCCAUUCUUGCCGUCAUAUUCUUUACUUGUAUAAUAAUGACAGUCAGGAACGUGACUGUCGUUCAAGAUCAACCAUUUGAUGGUACAGGUGACCUACACAACCUAAGUCAUGCAUCUGAUAUCCAAAUGACAGAAAACAAAGUUGAAAGGUAAAGAACACAAUAGAAGAAAAGGCAGUGAUAGUAAAGACGACAAUAAGAGUACUGACAAGUUGUGUGAUAUGGAAACAGAUCCCGCUAAUGGUUUGCCACAUUCUGCACAGAAGAAAAAACUUAAUAAAUGCUUCAUCUAUGUGAAUGACAGUGAGCGGGCAGGUAGCCUGCACGACCCAAUUCAAGCAGUUGAUGGUGAAGAACACAAUAGAAGAAAAGGCUGUGACAGUAAGGAUGGCAAUAAUAGUGAAGACACUUAUUUAUGAUAUAGAAACAGAACUCUCUAAUGAUUUGCUACAUUCUGCACAAAUUGAAAACAUCAGGUGAUACAGAAAGGCAAAGCUCCAAACAAUGGUGCGGAAAAUUCCACUGUGGCUCCAGUCGAAAUGAAAUCUGUAACCGACGCUAUUCAAGGCUACACACAUGCUCUAUAGACCAGAGAAGAUAUACAAAAUGUCUGGAAAGAACGUGGACAGCGGAGUUGAGAAAAAGGUUAUGAUUAUGAUUGUAAUUGCCAAAUAACGAAUACGUCUACAGUAGAAAAUAAAACUUCAAAUGUAUAACAGCUGUCCCAUUACUCUGAUAAAGGAAGUUCGAUACGGCAUUGUACAAAACUAUGAUAACAGGAUUCAGGCCAAAGCCCAUUUUUUUUUAAAUCGACUAUCAAAUUAGCUUGCUGGAAUGUUGAAGGUUUAUUGAACAAAUUACAAUUUUCAGAUUUUACAUUGUACCUUAAAAUGUUUGAUAUAUUUGGUUUACUCGAAACUUGGACACAAUCAGAGGGCAGUAUCGAGUUCUUGUUUGCUGAUUAUCAAGGGUUUACUGUAGAUGCGUUCAAGUAUGAAAAAUAUGGAAGACAUAUGGCGGAUAUCUCAGUAUUUGUCAAAAAGUCCUUAUCAAAAUUUGUAAAGCAAUCUAGUUGUAAAUUUUGUAUAUAUCUCAGAAUAGACGAACAAAUAGACAAUGUAUUUAACAUUGAGACGGAUGUUCUACUGUGUUUUGCAUAUCUUCCGCCAGAUUCUUCAAAUUCGUAUAAACAUGAAUAUAACAAAGGUUUAGAACUGUUUGAAGAUUACCUGAACGAACUAGAUGUUAAUCUAAAUGAACUAUACAUUUGUGUCUACGGUGACUUGAAUGCAAAAGAUAAUAGGUAAGGGUAGAUUUCUCGGAAGCACAGACCACCAAAAAACACA